AGAGUUUGAUUAUGGCUCAGGAUGAACGCUGGCGGCGUGCCUAAUACAUGCAAGUCGAGCGAGAAUCAGGGAAGCAGAGAUUCGUCAAAGCGGAACUGAGGAAAGCGGCGGACGGGUGAGUAACGCGUAGGCAACCUGCCCUUAGCAGAGGGAUAGCCAUUGGAAACGAUGAUUAAAACCUCAUAAAGCUGUUUUAACACAUGUUGGAACAGCCAAAGAUUUAUCGGCUAAGGAUGGGCCUGCGUCUGAUUAACUAGUUGGUGAGGUAACGGCCCACCCAAGGUGACGAUCAGUAGCCGACCUGAGAGGGUGAUCGGCCACAUUGGAACUGAGACACGGUCCAAACUUCUACGGAAGGCAGCAGUAAGGAAUCUUGCACAAUGGGGGAAACCCUGAAUGCAGCAACGCCGCGUGAACGAUGAAGGCCUUAGGGUUGUAAAGUUCUGAUCUGUGGGAAGAAGAAGUGACGGUACCACAGGAGAAAGCCCCGGCUAAAUACGUGCCAGCCGCCGC
rnacentral:rRNA from 1 species